UAGUGUUACAGGUCUUUUAGAAUUUGUCUAGCAGGUUUCCCUGUUUGUUUUUGUUGUUGUUAUUUUUUUUUUUUGAGACGAAGCCUCG
rnacentral:snRNA from 1 species